GUGGGAGGGGCUGAGUCCUUCCUGGUUGUCAUGUUUACCUGAAGCAGGUAAAGAACAGGAAACAGAAGCUCAGGAUCCAUUUGGUCUCUGAAGAACAGGAGGAUUAAAACAGCUUUCUGUCAGAAAUUGAAGGACACUAACUGGACCUGAACCACUGGGAACUGACUGGUUCUGGUUUCUCUCUCAGACUGACUGAAGUCCAGAAGAUGGAAGAUUGGGAUCCAAAGGAGGACAGAGCAGAACCUCCAGGAUCCAGCUGUCCAUCUAUGAGUGACAGAUCCAAAGAAGGAAAACCUCCAGACUUCCGAGCAGAACCGGGACCCUCAGACAUAAAAGGUCAGAACCACAGACAGAGAGCAGAACCUCCAGGAUCCAGCUGUCCGUCUAUGAGGAGUGACCGGUCCAAAGGUCGCAUCCCAGACUUCAGAGCAGAACCUGGACCCUCAGACUCAGAGUAAG